CGUGGACGUGUUCACGGGACAAAAUAAAUAAGAGCGGAAAAAUAACCCUCAAACAGGUGCUCGUAUAUCAGCGGCUGUCGGUUGCAGGGAAAUAGAAAAACGUCCUCCGUGGGCACGUGAUGACGUUGUCCGGGUCGUCUAUCGUCUACCCUCGUCCGUUAUGGGUGUACGGGGCGAAGGUGUGUACGUUAACCGAUGCCGAGGAUAGGGGAAAC